GGCUCGUUGGUGCAGGGGUAUGAUUCUCACUUAAGGCGUGAGAGGUCCUGGGUUCAAACCCCAGACGAACCC